rnacentral:tRNA from 1 species
GCGAGGCUUGGGCUCAGUGGCAGAGUAUCUGCUUGGCAUGCAAAAAAGUCCUAGGUUCAAUCCUUGGCAUCUAGCU